AUCGAACGCUGGCGGCAUGCCUAACACAUGCAAGUCGAGCGGAGCGGCGGACGGGUGUGUAAUGCCUAGGAAUCUGCCUGGUAGUGGUGGAUAACGUCCGGAAACGGGCGCUAAUCCCGCAUACUAUCAGAUGAGUCUAGGUCGGAUUAGCUAGUUGGUGGGGUAAAGGCCUACCAAGGCGACGAUCCGUAACUUGUCUGAGAGGAUGAUCAGUCACACUGGAACGGAGACACGGUCCAGACUCCUACGGGAGGCAGCAGUGGGGAAUAUUAGACAAUGGGCGAAAGCCUGAUCCAGCAAUGCCGCGUGUGUGAAGAAGGUCUUCGGAUUGUAAAGCACUUUAGGUUGGGAGGCGUUACCAACAGAAUAAGCACCGGCUAACUUCGUGCCAGCCGCCGCGGUAAUAC
rnacentral:rRNA from 1 species